GAUGAAGAACGUAGCGAAAUGCGAUACUUGGUGUGAAUUGCAGAAUCCCGUGAACCAUCGAGUCUUUGAACGCAAGUUGCGCCGGAAGCCACUAGGCCGAGGGCACGCCUGCCUGGGCGUCACACGUCGUUGCCCCCCCCAUCUACUCCUUCGGGAUUGCGGGGGGCGGAUGAUGGCCUCCCGUGCGCCUCGCCGCGCGGUUGGCAUAAAUGCCAAGUCCUCGGCGACGCACGCCACGACAAUCGGUGGUUGCGAAACCUCGGUUGCCCGUCGUGUGCGGUCGUCGAGCAUCGAGGGCUCGAAAAAAUUGCCGAGUUCCGGCUCGGCUUUCAACGCGACCCCAGGUCAGGCGGGGUUACCCGCUGAAUUUAAGCAUAUCAAUAAGCGGAGGA
rnacentral:misc_RNA from 1 species